AUUGAACGCUGGCGGCAGGCUUAACACAUGCAAGUCGAGCGGAGACUUCGGUCUUAGCGGCGAACGGGUGAGUAAUACCUAGGAAUCUGCCUAUUAGUGGGGGAUAACGGCUCGAAAGGGUCGCUAAUACCGCAUACGUCCUACGGGAGAAAGUGGGGGAUCUUCGGACCUCACGCUAAUAGAUGAGCCUAGGCCGGAUUAGCUAGUUGGUGAGGUAAUGGCUCACCAAGGCUACGAUCAGUAGGGGAUCUGAGAGGACUAACCCCCACACUGGUACGUNAGACACGGACCGAGACUCCUACGGGAGGGCAGCAGU
rnacentral:rRNA from 1 species